GACGAACCGUGCAAACGUUGUUCGGAAUCACUGGGCUUAAAGGGCGCGUAGGCGGGCACCGCAAGUCAAUUGUGAAAUCUCCGGGCUUAACUCGGAAAGGUCAACUGAUACUGCGGGGCUAGAGUGCGGAAGGGGCAACUGGAAUUCUCGGUGUAGCGGUGAAAUGCGUAGAUAUCGAGAGGAACACCUGCGGCGAAGGCGGGUUGCUGGGCCGACACUGACGCUGAUGCGCGAAAGCCAGGGGAGCGAACGGG
rnacentral:rRNA from 1 species